AACUUUCAACAACGGAUCUCUUGGUUCUGGCAUCGAUGAAGAACGCAGCGAAAUGCGAUAAGUAAUGUGAAUUGCAGAAUUCAGUGAAUCAUCGAAUCUUUGAACGCACAUUGCGCCCGCUGGCAUUCCAGCGGGCAUGCCUGUUCGAGCGUCAUUUC
rnacentral:rRNA from 1 species